GAACGCUGGCGGCAUGCCUUACACAUGCAAGUCGAACGGCAGCACGGGAGCAAUCCUGGUGGCGAGUGGCGAACGGGUGAGUAAUAUAUCGGAACGUGCCCAGUCGUGGGGGAUAACGCAGCGAAAGUUGUGCUAAUACCGCAUACGAUCUAUGGAUGAAAGCGGGGGAUCGCAAGACCUCGCGCGAUUGGAGCGGCCGAUAUCAGAUUAGGUUGUUGGUGAGGUAAAAGCUCACCAAGCCUGCGAUCUGUAGCUGGUCUGAGAGGACGACCAGCCACACUGGAACUGAGACACGGUCCAGACUCCUACGGGAGGCAGCAGUGGGGAAUUUUGGACAAUGGACGAAAGUCUGAUCCAGCAAUGCCGCGUGCAGGACGAAGGCCUUCGGGUUGUAAACUGCUUUUGUACAGAACGAAAAAAGUCUUUAAUAACACUAGAGGCUCAUGACGGUACUGUAAGAAUAAGCACCGGCUAACUACGUG
rnacentral:rRNA from 1 species